rnacentral:rRNA from 1 species
AAAUUGAAGAGUUUGAUCAUGGCUCAGAUUGAACGCUGGCGGCAGGCCUAACACAUGCAAGUCGAACGGUAACAGGAAGCAGCUUGCUGCUUUGCUGACGAGUGGCGGACGGGUGAGUAAUGUCUGGGAAACUGCCCGAUGGAGGGGGAUAACUACUGGAAACGGUAGCUAAUACCGCAUAACGUCGCAAGACCAAAGAGGGGGACCUUCGGGCCUCUUGCCAUCGGAUGUGCCCAGAUGGGAUUAGCUAGUAGGUGGGGUAACGGCUCACCUAGGCGACGAUCCCUAGCUGGUCUGAGAGGAUGACCAGCCACACUGGAACUGAGACACGGUCCAGACUCCUACGGGAGGCAGCAGUGGGGAAUAUUGCACAAUGGGCGCAAGCCUGAUGCAGCCAUGCCGCGUGUAUGAAGAAGGCCUUCGGGUUGUAAAGUACUUUCAGCGGGGAGGAAGGGAGUAAAGUUAAUACCUUUGCUCAUUGACGUUACCCGCAGAAGAAGCACCGGCUAACUCCGUGCCAGCAGCCGCGGUAAUACGGAGGGUGCAAGCGUUAAUCGGAAUUACUGGGCGUAAAGCGCACGCAGGCGGUUUGUUAAGUCAGAUGUGAAAUCCCCGGGCUCAACCUGGGAACUGCAUCUGAUACUGGCAAGCUUGAGUCUCGUAGAGGGGGGUAGAAUUCCAGGUGUAGCGGUGAAAUGCGUAGAGAUCUGGAGGAAUACCGGUGGCGAAGGCGGCCCCCUGGACGAAGACUGACGCUCAGGUGCGAAAGCGUGGGGAGCAAACAGGAUUAGAUACCCUGGUAGUCCACGCCGUAAACGAUGUCGACUUGGAGGUUGUGCCCUUGAGGCGUGGCUUCCGGAGCUAACGCGUUAAGUCGACCGCCUGGGGAGUACGGCCGCAAGGUUAAAACUCAAAUGAAUUGACGGGGGCCCGCACAAGCGGUGGAGCAUGUGGUUUAAUUCGAUGCAACGCGAAGAACCUUACCUGGUCUUGACAUCCACGGAAGUUUUCAGAGAUGAGAAUGUGCCUUCGGGAACCGUGAGACAGGUGCUGCAUGGCUGUCGUCAGCUCGUGUUGUGAAAUGUUGGGUUAAGUCCCGCAACGAGCGCAACCCUUAUCCUUUGUUGCCAGCGGUCCGGCCGGGAACUCAAAGGAGACUGCCAGUGAUAAACUGGAGGAAGGUGGGGAUGACGUCAAGUCAUCAUGGCCCUUACGACCAGGGCUACACACGUGCUACAAUGGCGCAUACAAAGAGAAGCGACCUCGCGAGAGCAAGCGGACCUCAUAAAGUGCGUCGUAGUCCGGAUUGGAGUCUGCAACUCGACUCCAUGAAGUCGGAAUCGCUAGUAAUCGUGGAUCAGAAUGCCACGGUGAAUACGUUCCCGGGCCUUGUACACACCGCCCGUCACACCAUGGGAGUGGGUUGCAAAAGAAGUAGGUAGCUUAACCUUCGGGAGGGCGCUUACCACUUUGUGAUUCAUGACUGGGGUGAAGUCGUAACAAGGUAACCGUAGGGGAACCUGCGGUUGGAUCACCUCCUUACCUUAAAGAA